rnacentral:rRNA from 1 species
CCCUUAGAUGUUCUGGGCCGCACGCGCGCUACACUGAUGCAUUCAACAAGCCUAGCCUUGACCGAGAGGUCCGGGUAAUCUUUGAAACUGCAUCGUGAUGGGGCUAGAUUAUUGCAAUUAUUAAUCUUCAACGAGGAAUGCCUAGUAAGCGUGAUUCAUCAAAUCGCGUUGAUUACGUCCCUGCCCUUUGUACACACCGCCCGUCGCUCCUACCGAUUGAAUGUGUUGGUGAGGAGCUCGGAUUGGCAGCAGUUGGUGGUUCGCCGUCUGUUGGCUGCGGGAAGUUCGUUAAACCUUAUCAUUUAGAGGAAGGAGAAGUCGUAACA